ensembl:lncRNA
AUGUGCCGCUCCAGCCCGCCCCGGUUGGAGAAGCUCUCCCCGCACACCGGACACAGGUGGCACGCGGCGCCGCUUAGGUUCAGCGGCGCCGCGCUGCGCUCCGGCGCGUCCUCGUCCUCCGCCGGUUUCGGGGAGCCGUGCUGGGACGCCAGGUGCUUCCGCAGGUACGCCGGCCGUUUGAACUUCUUCCCGCAGUGGUUACAAUCGUACAGCCCUUCCUCCGAGCCGGACUCGGACGGGCCCGGGCUGGGGGUGUCCCUGUCACUGGAGUCCUUGGCUUCCUCCGGUGCGGUCUUACCGGACGCGGAAGCCCGGUCGCUCUCGGGAUGUGGCCCCCCCCGGCGCUGCGCUCUGCGGCUUCGGCUUGUGCCACCGCCGGUGCGAGGCGAGGUUAGCCGGGCAGCUGAACACCUUGUCGCACUCGGGACACCGGUACUCGACCCGGACUAUCCUGGAGCACUUGUGCUGCGCCAGAGCGAACGGGUCCGCGUACGCCUCGCGGCACAGCUGGCACACGAACUCGCCCAGCGGGACGUUGUCCCCUCCGGGCAGCUGCGGCCUCGGGGGCUUCUGGUCCACCGGCGCCUCUUUGAUCUUGAGCCCGAGAACCGGAGACGUGGUGACAUCAUCCUCAAAGUGCAGCCUCCGGAUGGCUUUGGUUUUCUUGGACGGCGGUUUGCUUUUGCGCUCGGCGUCGCCGGCGGGCCGCUUGGUGGCUGCGGCGGGGAGCGUCGCGGUGGACGUGGCACUGGUCCCGGUGCGGCUGCUGUUGCUGGAGCCGAUUUUCAGGUCCACCGGGGCGUAGAGGUGGUCCAGGGCGGGCAGCGCUGCCGGUGUGGGAAAGGACUCCGCGGAAACCGGCGACCCGAGGUUGAAGCGCUCGUUGUCCCGGCUGACGGGGCGGGUGGGGCUGUACAGCGCCUGGCACACCAGCUCCGGGUUCCCGAACUGCACCGGUCUGCCGACCUGCUCCGGAGCCGCCGCCCCGCAGGUGGGCGUUGGCGUCCGUGCGCGCACCGGCAAGGAGGCGGUAAGAGCCGCGCAGGAAAGCGGCCGCGGCGGCGCACAGGGUGCCGUUUGCUCCGCGUCCUCCUGGUCGGGGCGGACCCGGUAAGAGACCGGGUUGGUCCUCUUGUUCCUUUUCACCAAAAAUCCCCUCGGCAUGUUCGCGUUAAACCCUGA